AGAGAGGGAAGGAGAGGGAAAAAUGGACACCCGUCGAGGGCCGAAGAAAGUUUGCAGCCGGCGGCGGCCGGGAUUGGCUCGCGAGUUCCCCUGGCGACGGUGAUGCAGGGCGAGGGGCUGGGCUGGCUGCCCCGCCCCGCCCCGGCCGGGCGGGCGCUCCCUGUGGGUGCGCGCAAUUGAAGAGCUGAGGCGAGAAGCGCGGGCUGCGCGGGGCCCGGCAGCAGCUGCAGCUCGUUGGCCCCCUUCGCCGCUCAUUGGCCGGCGGCGCGAGCCAGCUGGAUGUGAGCCUGGGGCGCGUCAAAUAAGCCGCACUUCCCCCCGCGCCCACCUGCACAGCACCAGCGCACGUCGGGACCCCUUCCUUGUCCUCAGACACCCCUCGGGCACCUACCUACCUGCCUCCCCCCUGUCCCCGGCUCGCACCAGGCACCUGCCCCACCUUAUCCCCGCUUAAGGCAGACCCUCGCCCUCUCCGCUCCCCUCUGAGGGGAGAAUAAAAGGGGGAAGAAGGAGGAGGAGGAGGCGCAAAAGAAAGGAGAAAGGCGAGGCAGCCGCCCAGGACCAGCACGCGAGCCCCCCUGCCUUGCUUUCCUCGGACUUGCCCUGCACCCACCAUGAGCAAUCUGCCCAAGGAGAAUGAGCACAGCAGCAACAGCCUCGAGGAAGAGGUGCGGACACUUUUUGUCAGUGGCCUUCCUGUGGACAUCAAGCCCAGGGAGCUUUACCUGCUUUUCCGGCCAUUCAAGGGUUAUGAAGGAUCGCUGAUCAAGCUAACAUCAAAACAGCCGGUUGGCUUUGUUACCUUCGACAGCCGGUCUGGUGCGGAAGCUGCAAAGAAUGCAUUGAAUGGCAUCCGCUUUGACCCGGAGAAUCCCCAGACGUUGCGGUUAGAGUUUGCUAAGGCCAACACCAAGAUGGCAAAAAGCAAGCUGAUGGCCACACCGAAUCCCACGAACCUCCACCCUGCCCUGGGAGCACACUUCAUUGCACGGGACCCUUAUGACCUGACUGGAGCAACCCUGAUCCCAGCAUCUCCAGAGGCAUGGGCUCCCUACCCACUCUACACCACGGAGUUAACCCCUGCCAUCCCACAUGCUGCUUUCACAUACCCAGCUGCUGCCGCUGCUGCUGCACUUCAUGCUCAGGGGCUCCCACAGCGGCCAACUGGUGGUUGAAAUGAUCCCUCCUUUGAUGUCUUCAGUGACCUGCUGCCAGGAUGCCUACGCAGGCCAGCCCUGAAGCUCAAGGCUGGCCCUGGAGGUGUGGGACACCAUAGUUCUGGCUUGCCCCUGCUAGAGUGGAGUGGCUGUACAACAGCUUCAUUCCUAGAAGCCUUUAAGGAUGGUGGGUCCCGUCUCUGGAAAAAGGCUGGUAAGGUAAACAUCAUCUCUCUGCCAUUUUGGGCACAACGGGGUUUUCCGCAAGCUUCUUUUUUUUAUUAUUUUUCUGCCCCCAUCUCUUCCUUGGCAAGCCAGUGCAUGGGCCUCCACGCUAUCCACCCACCAAAAGCCCAGGCAGGAUGAAAUGCCAGGUAUUUCUCUAACCCACCUAUUGCCAACUUGGCACACAUGACAUGGCACCACAGCAUGGCACCCCUUGUGUUGAAAGUGGCCCCACUGAGCAGGGAUGGAUUGGUCCUGCCUGUGGGAGGGGAGGAGCCUCAGCGGGUGGCAGGCCUGCCACACGGUGCUGUUGAGCGGGGUGGGGCUCCCUGCCACCUUUUUGCACUCACCACAGUCACGUGGUGGGAGGGGGGUUGAGAUUGUAGUUGUAGCAGCAGCACACACGGAUUUAAUUUCCCCCGCACAGCCAACUGGUGCACACACACACAUCAGUCACGCUAUGGACUCUGUCAAGGAAGGGAGGACCCAUCCUUGACAGGAGUCCAGAAUAUCCUUCUUCACACUUUCCAAAUGUAAAAAAAAUUCUGAUUUCCUUUAAUAUAAUUUUGUUCUUUUACUCCUUCACUCCAGUCUGAUACGGUUGCUGCCUAUGUCAUGUCAUAGAACUUCAUAGGAAAGGGAAGAUGUUGGAGAGGGUGGAAGUAGGGUUGGACAAAUUGGUUAAUUGUGGUUUCUCCUGUUUUUCCAGUCUUAAAUCUGAGUUCACAUUUCCGCAUCAGUGCAAUUUUUAUAUAUAUAUAAAAAGGGAAUUUAUCCUAAUAUAUACAUUUUUAAUCCAAUUUGCAUACUGCACAUCUUGAAAACCAUUUCCCUUAUUAAUAAUAAUAAUAAUGCAUUUUUGUUCAUAUGUUUUCACAGAUACAUGUACUCUUGUGCACAUUUUACCCCAUUUUGUACAUGUUGCUUAGCUGAGGAGCUGAAUUGCAGACUUCGGAGAAGUGGAAGUUUUGAAGCAUUGCUGAAUUUCAGUUCCCAUAUUGUUUCAAGGGAGCAUGAGUUACGAAAGUUAGGCUUCAAAUGCUAGCUGAACUGAAUUCUCUCCCUUCCCUAGGUGGAAAUAAGGGCUGCAGUGUUUACUAAACCAAAGGGUUAUGGUGAUCUGACAUGCAGAUUUUUGAAACUUCACAGAUUUCAUAAGAACUCACAUUAGAGGAUGAGAGCAACAGUCUUAUACGACAUCUCCCUUUAUCAUGCGAUACCUCUAAAGGUGAUGCAGGCAUCUUUUUUAAAAAGUGUGCUGCUUCACAGUUGCUUACUCAUGUGCAAGUGUGAUCAAUUGAGUAGAGUCAUGUAUCCCUCAUGAUAUGGACUGUUAGCCACAGUCCAUAUGUAUCCUGUAUCUUCCCUGUCAUUGCAUAUUGAAUAAUUGUGUUUUGAUGUGUGUCCCCCCACCAAGCCAGCUAUGGUCCAAAUUGAGAAAAAAAACAUCUUAGCUGCCUUUUUGAAGCUGGUAAUAUGUACACAGCCCAUAUAUAGAAGCAGCUGGCUUACUAAAGAGACUCUGGAGAGAACCGCCCAUUCCGCCAAUGCUCUCAGUCUGGUCAACAGAGAUCUCAAAGCAGCCACCAGAUACACAAUUGUCAUCUUAGCACAGACAUAGAGCCAGCCUCUUGCCCUUCCAUUGGGUUGUAUGUGGACCUUGGGCAGCUGCAUCUCUCCUGGCAGGAUCCUGCAGAUCUAGUGACUGGGGGUUUUCUUUCCAGGGUUAAAGAGCACUGCACAGCCCGGCCAGGGAAACUUCCUGUUUCCACUCAGUUGUUGAGCAGAAGGAACAAAACUAAUUCCAGAUGUGCGGGGGAGAUGGAUGUAGGAAUCUGGGAAAUGCUUUAGCUACAGCUUGGGAGUGGUGGGAGUUUGUGGAAGGGCAGAAAUACAAAACAUGACAAUCCUGCUGGCUAUCAGGUGGGAGAACUAAAUGCAACUUUUAACUUACAGGGAAGGAUAAUGGUAAGAAAAAAUUGAGGUUGGCAGGCUUGCUGCAGAGCAAGCCAUACUGACAGACUGUGCAGAUGUUGGAGGGAGUAAGAAGUCCAGUCCCCCAGAUGUUAAUAUUGGCAGCAGAUUUUUCAUAUAAAUUAUAGUGUAUCUGGUAGUACCAGUACAAAGGUGUGUUAAUCCUCCUGAACAACUUUUAUAUUACAUCACAUCCACAAUGUAUAUUUGAAGCACUCUUACAUCACUCUUAACUGUUAUGGCUUCCCCUGAAGAAACCUAGGAACUGUAGUUGUUGAGGGUAGUGGGAAUUGUAGUUCUGUGGGGGGGGGGUCACCCAAGUCUUGACACCCAUAACAGACUUCAGUUCCCAGGAUUCUUUGGGGGAAGCCAUUAUUGUUACAGUGGGUAUAAUUUAAGAGUACUUAAAAUGUAUGUUGUGGAUAUAGCCUAAGUUGCGAAAGGUCUUUAAGCAGAGGCUGCUGAAUGCUCUAGCUCUGGAUUCCUAGCGUUAAAAUGGGAGUUGGACCUUCAAGGACUCCCCUGCAACUGCAUUAUUGGGUGGAGCACAUAUAUUACUAAUUAUAUUCACAUUGGUCUUACUAUUAUGCCUUAGGAGGAGGGCAAAGGUCCAAUUGCAACUGCCUUCAUGAAUCCUCAAAGGUCUGUUCCUCUUGGUUCCUGUGCAGUGAUAAAUUCCAUUUGCUUUAGCUUGGGGAUGGGCAACAUGCGGCCGCUCAGAUGUCCUAGGCUGCCCCAGCUAUCAUGGCCCAAUUGUCAGGGAUGAUGGGAAUUGUAAUCCGGCAAUGACUGGAUGCCCACAGGUCCCCCAUCGUUGCUUUUUCAGGUCAUGGUUGUUGGGUUACUUCUGGACCAAACGCUGCUGCAGCAGUCCAGAUGUUACCUCUUCUCCCCUGUUAAGUUGCCCUAGUCCCAAAACUUCUCAGCAUUUUGCAGGUGUCAAAAUAGGGGCUCAUGUACAUUUGAUACCUCACUAUUCUCACACAAAGGGUCCCUGCGCACAAGCCUCGCACACUACCGCACAUUUUCAGGCUCCUUUUUCUGCUUGCUUUAUUUUUUUACUCUGAAGCAGCCUCCUCUGCACCGAAUUCUGGAGUAGGUGUGUCUCGUGUGCAAGAGAAGGCUAUCUGCAACAGUUUAGUCAUUGUAAUAAACGUUGUAAGUUUUUUUUUAUUUUGUUUUUUAACAGAACUUUAAAAACCACCACAUCUUACUCUACCAGUGGUUGUACUUGUAAAAUAGCUGCAACUUGAAAUGUGGCUGGUCAUGUUGACUAGGUGGUUAAGUUGUUUGGGAAGCAGGAGAGGUUGGAAGGGAUCUAUUUUUAAAAUCUCAAAUAGGAACAUUUAUUUACCAGAGACUUGGUUCCAGACGAGAAGAACCAGCUCUGAUAAAUGUGGACAGUUGGAGCAUGUGAUGGUUGUGAUGGCAAGGAACAGCCAAGGAGUAAAACAUCAUCUGGGACCCAGGUGGAGCUGUGGUUAAACCACUGAGCCUAGGGCUUGCUGAUCAGAAGGUCGGCGGUUCGAAUCCCUGUGACGGGGUGAGCUCCCGUUGCUUGGUCCCAGCUCCUGCCAACCUAGCAGUUCGAAAGCACGUCAAAAUGCAAGUAGAUAAAUAGGAACCGCUACAGCGGGAAGGUAAACAGCAUUUCCGUGUGCCGCUCUGGUUUGCCAGAAGCGGCUUUGUCAUGCUGGCCACAUGACCUGGAAGCUAUACGCUGGCUCCCUCGGCCAAUAAUGCGAGAUGAGCGCGCAACCCCAGAGUCGGUCACGACUGGACCUAAUGGUCAGGGGUCCCUUUACCUUUAAAGCAUCAUUGCAGAGUUGUAAUAUGGGGCAGGAAAGUGGCACGUGAGUUGUAGGGUGACUCUUAAGACAGCCAUUGUUGCCACUAUGUCAUUUUUGUGGCAAAAUCUACAGCCCUGCCGGUCAUUCAUCAAACGUGGCCUCCAAGGCAUAAACUUCCCUAGAACUAGGAGUUGAGAAAAGAUGUAUCAGUUGCCUUGGAGGGGUAGGAGCAGAGAAGACAUUAUGGGACCUUACUAAUGUUACAGGCUUAGCAAGCUUGAGUAUGUCUCCCUGUGUCAAUUAUUCAGAAGGUUGAAGGGAGCAAUACAUGCUGCCAGAAAAGAGUGGCAGUCCUGUUUUCCAGAGGAUCUUGAGGAAUAAUGAGCAACCUAAGAGAAGUAGCUUACGUAGAGUUUUUGGGAGCACUACUUUACCUGCCUUGGAUGCACUGACAUUUUCCCCUCCUCUAUCAUACUCUGUCAUUCUCUUCUAGAUGCGCUGGUAUCCUCCCUCUGAAGCUACCCAGCAAGGAUGGAAGUCUCGUCAGUUCUGUUAGUUUUAAGCUGCCUCUUGGUCCACGUUUCCCCCCUUUGUCUCUCCAUGGAGUGAUGUGCCAGGGAUGAAGUUAUCUGGAUCGCUGGAAACCUUCCUUCCAAGCCCUUCCUGUGGGCACCAGCAAGGUGCUCAACUGCAGUAACUUGUCCUUCUUGUGAACAAAGAUGUGGGCUUUCCUGUCCAGGACUGUGAACAUAAACUGCCCACCCCCUCACCCAACUCAGUGGACUCUGCAUGGUCUGUGUUCUCUCUUGCCUUCCUUCCUGCCUGCCUGCCUGUCUUGCCCUCCACUAACUCAUACCAAACUUCCAUUUCUGAGUUUCUCCUCCUGCUACGCUGAGGCCCAGUUGGAGAGACUCAGUUUUGGUGACAGACCCUUUUUCUCUUUUCUCUUCUCGUUUUUUUUCUGGUUUCCAGCUGGGUUCCUGGCACAAAAACGUGGUCUAGCUGUGUGUACAGUGCAAUAUCCAGGGCCUUCUUAUCCUAAACAUUGUUUAUGCAGUUCCGCUGGAGGAAGUGAAAGACAAUCAGUUUUGCAUGUUUUCUGGCAUGAAUUUAAAACACUUUAACUUGGGUGUGUGCGUGUGUGAGUGUGCAAAGCUUGUUUUUGUUCUAGCAUUUGUGUAACCAUAGCAACGGGUCUUGGCCUAGCUAUUGAUCACUGAAGUUUUUCAUCUUGCUUCUGUGAAGACUUUGCUUCUGGAAAACACUAUCCUAGUUUUUGCCCUCCCCCCCCCAAAAAAAAUCCCCUUGGCUUUCUUUUUCCUCCAGUUUUCCCUUUCCAAUUUCUGCUUUGACUAGAAUUUGAAAAAGAAAAAAAAAGUUUCUUCUCAAAAGUACAAUGCACUGGGUUUCUUGUCCAUUUGCCCUUCUCCAGUUAAAAGUCAGGGUUGUUUUUGUGUUUGUUUUCAGUCAGACUUCUAUAUAUAGAACAGCUGUAAAAUAUUUAACCUUUUUUUCCACAUCCCUCUGAUUGGAGAGAAUCCAGUCUUGCCAAAUAAUCAGCCAUCCUUAUGGGAAUACCGAACAAAGAUGUACGAGUAUUUUUGUACCAUGUGUAAUAAGGAAGUAUUUAUGCAUCAUAAAAGAUUUUGUGGUUUUUGUGCAAUUAAUUAUUAUUAAAGAGAAACUGUAAUCUGUAUGAUAAGUUAAAUGUUUAGUUAAAAGCUUGAAGAGAAAAAGACUUUUUCUGUAACUGAUUCAGUCAGGCAUAGUAACAAGAAGUUGUGCAAUUUUCGUUAACAUUUUAUUGCUUGGUAUUUGGAAGUGCUUUAAGUAUUAUUGGACCAUGGCUGUCUCGCUUGUAUUAAGAUUCUUGAGAAAUAAGUUGCUAUAUCCUAUGAGAAUGUGAAACUGGAUAAUAUAUGAAUUGUACUCA